rnacentral:snRNA from 1 species
UGAGUACCAAAGUACCACUAUACUAAAAUUGGAACAAUACAGUGAAGAUUAGCAUGGCCCCUGUGCAAGGAUGACAUGCAGAUUCAUGAUGCAUUCCAUUCUAAA